rnacentral:lncRNA from 1 species
GGUAAUUGGGCUGGGGCCGGAUAGAAACUGUACCCGAGUCAUAAUACCACAGCGACACCCACCCGGCAAAGCAAAAUAAAGUCCACCGCAUGACCGCAUCCCUUCAAUCUCAGUAAUUGCUUCCCCAAAAUCUUCUUCCCCCCUCUUUUCUAUAUCCGUCCUCUACCAUCCCUCCAUAUUUCUUUCUCUUUAGGUUGAUGGAUUUGUAGAUCAUUCAAUGCCAAAUCCGAUCUUUGAUCGUCGAGGAUGUCCCAGGCGGACGUCGCUUACAGGUUUUGUCUUCUGUUUGUUUUUUUUUUUUUGCCCUUAUUUCCCAUCUCUAAUUGAGGGUUUUACGCUGCCUUUUGUCUUCGAUUAGGCUGGGUUUUGCUUGAUUUCUUCUAUCCACUUCGAAUUUGAGAUUUUUGUCACCAAAAUUCUGAUGUAGUUUCUUGAUUUCCCUGGCCAAUUUUGUUUCCUGAAAUUUCUUCCAAUUUCAGGUGAUAUACCGUGAUAUCUUUAUAUCUAUAUAUCGAUGUCUCGGGAGAUUGCAUUGAAAAUGCUGUAUAGUUUUAAAUUUUUGUGGUUUGUCUUUGUUCUUUUACCAUGCGAUGUUAUUGUUUAAUUUUGUGAAUCUAAUGGUGGAAAUGGAAGGUAUUUGUUUUGUUAUUAUGUAAUGUCAUGUCAUUCAAAUCCUGUUUGGUGGGAAAAUGACUGUUGGUUGAUUAGUUCAGUAUCUUAUGGGACGAAUUCUAUUACAUUUGGUAUGUUUGUGUGUCACGCUCAAGGGGAAAUUGCUGGUGUAAAAAUUGAAGUGAUUUUUGAAGUUAUGAUAGGGAAAAGGUCUAGUAAUGUGGCUGUGAAUUUAGAUACAGAAAAGUAGAGCUCAAAUCUGAUUUUCUAUGGCACAUCAAAUUUAAUCAAGUUGCAACGAUAUAUAUAUAUAUAUAUAUAGAAUUGGCAAUUGGUGUUGGACUUUCAGGAAAUUAGAUUCUUAGGUUUGGUUGCUUAAUGAUUCUGGGCUAAGAUAGUAGAAGAAUUUCUAGCAAUGUAUGUUGUUUCAUGUCAAGUUUCUAAGUGCGUUGGCAAGCUACUUACAGUGUAACAUUUGUUACUUUUGAUUCUACUUGUCUAGCCCAGCUUUUAAUCAUUCUUAACAAAAUUCAAGAUGGUGUAAAUUUUGGUUCAUGUCAAAUCUAAAUGUAGUCACUUACAAGGAUAUAAAAUAUUGACAAUGGAAAGCCAUAUGUAUAUCUAAUUUGGGCUAACCAGAUAAUAUUGUUGUGGCUAUUGAUGCCUUUCAGUUUAAUGAUCCUACAGUUCAUCCUGUUAAUAAUUUAUUAAGUUUAGAAAUGUACUCAGGAAAUUUAUCUUUUUCUGUUCGAGCAUUGCCCCAGACCAGUCAGCCUAUCAAACAAACUUUGAUUUUAUUAUUUUUUUUGGAUUCUUUAGUUCUUUUUCUUUCACUUGUUUGUUUAACCAAUGAAGUAUUUGGCUGCCAGGUUUGAGCAGCAAAAAUUCUCCCCGAAGUACAUUUGGUUCUCAAUUCUGAGUCAAUGUGAUUUCACAUCACUUAGCAUAAAAGAAAUUAAAGUUGAACCAUGUAAAGUUUCUUAUUGUAGUUUAUUUUAAUCCAACUUUAUGGUUUUUGUACAGUAUGGAAUUCAUAUUAACUAAUUUUAUGGCUUAGCAUUUGCUUUUUGCAAUUUUUCUUGAGUUUUUUUUG